rnacentral:lncRNA from 1 species
CUAUAUCCACGCCGUGCAUUUAGCCACGUUGAAGAACUUGAGAAACGGAAAGCAGUUACCAGCACCAAUAUAAAUAGCUAUCUCUAAAACCUAAAAGGGUUCCUCGGUUUUCCACGCUCAUAUUGCCGAAGCUUUGCCAAUUUUCUUUUCACGCUUUUGCUUAUUUUUUUCUUUUUCCAGCAACUUAACAUCGUUUAUUUUAUUUAUUUCUUUUGCAAG